rnacentral:lncRNA from 1 species
UUGAUGGAACUACAGUUGCCAUAGGACUGCCUUGCUGGUACCACAAAAAAAAAAAACCCCGAUAACCAGAGGUGCACUGGAUACAACCGACGACGGCCACUAGAGAUACGAUAUCGAUACCGGAAAUCAUAGGUGUACUGGAUCCUUUAUGUCAUUCAGUUGUUUUCAACAAGGUUUAAAAGGGUUACAAUACAGUGUUUGACAUUAUUGAAAGACACAGAAAAAGAAUCGAUUAAAGAAAACAAAUAUCAUCAUGCCGGCCUGUGUUUGUUGUUCCCGGCGACUGACAGACCGAUGCAUGCAAGAUUGAUAUCAAACACACACGUAAGAAAUAUCAGCAGAAGGAAGAACCAAUUAUGAUGAAUCCACAGCCGACCUGACACAAGCAUUGUUAAACAAAUUAGACGUAAUCUGACAUGUAUAUAAUUAUACCUCCACGUAUAAAGUAUAUGGGGAUAUAUUGGAGUCACGCAUGUCCGCCGGUCCGUCCGUCCGUCCAUCGUGUCCGCUGGGAAGACUUUUAUAAAACUGGUAUCAAUUAUUAACCUCAUCAAGACGAUGUGUAUGUGCAAAGUCAAGGUUACUUUUGGUGGUCAAAGGUCAAAUAAUUUAACUACUUGUCCACUCUAUAUUGUCUAAACGGCUAGAAUAAGGAUGGUUAUAGUACUUGCUCUGGCGCCGGCGUCCCUGUCACUGUUGCAUUUAUGUCUUAUGGCAAGCAAUUCAGUGUCGCUGUCUUCUUAACUAUUGUCCCUAUUAAUACCAAACUUAACAUAAAUGUUAAUUGGUCUUGAUAAAGGGCAGACAUCUAUUUGUUUAAGACCAGACAUCCUAAAGGUUAAGGUCACUGUAUUCAAAUGUUGUAAUAGUACUGGUUAAAAGUUUAAAACUUCUCAAUUUCACUAUAUCUUCUUAAAUACUUUAAUCAUGAAACGUCAUAUAAGGAUUGAUCUUAAAAAGCGGAAGAAAUCUUUUGUUUAGGGUCAGGUAGCACAAAGGUCAAGGUCACUGGGGUCACAUCCCAUACAUUUACGCACUACACUUCCUCACACCUACCCAAACUACAUACCUUACACAAACUCAUGCAUUUGUAUCUCAUAUUUUCUUCGUCUCCCAUGUUCCCACCACCACUGUCUUUACCUACCUCCCACCACACACACCCAGAGAUCUAUUCUACAAAUUCUUUACGCGUAGUUAUAUUACAUAUCUUGUAUUUCAUAGGUUUAUAUGAUGUUUACGUGCCCAUAUUCCCUCACUUAUACCCCACCCCACCCACUUCCAAAUUGUUUAAAUAUAUAUUUACAUUUUUCACACUUACUUGUAUCUCAUGUGGGAUCUUAGUAUCCCUCAUAACACCUACCCCAUCACACACUUUCACCAGCCACUUCCAGAAAAUCUUUUUCUUACAUUUAUCACUGUAACUCGAUCAUAUCUCAUACUGUUUUAUACAUUCCCUCAUUUGCCUGCUCCUACCGCCCCCUCGGGGCCUCCGUGGCCGGGUGGUUAAGGUCGCUGACUUCAAAUCACUUGCCCCU